rnacentral:rRNA from 1 species
UACGGAGGGUGCAAGCGUUGUCCGGAAUCACUGGGCGUAAAGCGCACGUAGGCGGUCUUUUAAGUCGGGGGUGAAAUCCUGGAGCUCAACUCCAGAACUGCCUUCGAUACUGGAAGACUUGAGUCCGGGAGAGGUGAGUGGAACUGCGAGUGUAGAGGUGAAAUUCGUAGAUAUUCGCAAGAACACCAGUGGCGAAGGCGGCUCACUGGCCCGGUACUGACGCUGAGGUGCGAAAGCGUGGGGAGCAAACAGG